rnacentral:sRNA from 1 species
AAUGAUCGCGCCUGCGACCUGCGCGAUGACUAAGCGACCACGCGGGCGAUCGGAACUC